UCCUACGGGAGGCAGCAGUGAGGAAUAUUGGUCAAUGGGCGAGAGCCUGAACCAGCCAAGUCGCGUGAGGGAAGACGGUCCUAUGGAUUGUAAACCUCUUUUGCCGGGGAGCAAAAAGCGGUACGUGUACCGCAUCGAGAGUACCCGGAGAAAAAGCAUCGGCUAACUCCGUGCCAGCAGCCGCGGUAAUACGGAGGAUGCGAGCGUUAUCCGGAUUUAUUGGGUUUAAAGGGUGCGCAGGCGGUGAGUUAAGUCAGCGGUAAAAUUUCGGGGCGCAAUCCCGAGGUGCCGUUGAAACUGGCUUG
rnacentral:rRNA from 1 species